UACGUAGGUGGCAAGCGUUGUCCGGAUUUACUGGGCGUAAAGAGCGCGCAGGCGGUCGUGCAAGUCGCGUGUGAAAGCCCCCGGCUCAACUGGGGAGGGUCACGCGAUACUGCUCGACUUGAAGGCAGGAGAGGGAAGUGGAAUUCCCGGUGUAGUGGUGAAAUUCGUAGAUAUCGGGAGGAACACCAGUGGCGAAGGCGACUUCCUGGCCUGUUCUUGACGCUGAGGCGCGAAAGCUAGGGUAGCAAACGGG
rnacentral:rRNA from 1 species